UAGAUUCCGUUUCGAUUAACAUCCCUAACUCUGGACUUCACUACGUCUCCACUGUUCUUAUGGAGUUCCUAGCAUUCCAUUCUGAAAUAUGAAAAAGUAUCUCCUCCACCAUGAGGGCUCGAGGAAGCUUGUGGCUUGAGUAAAACCUGGACUGGUCUGCGCCAUCUGAACUAUUCUCUAUCCACUCUCAACGAACUGGACUGCGAGAUUCUACCCACUCCCACACUCUGGCCGAUACAGUCGCAAACCCCGGGACAGUGCACAACAGACUAGAUUGAGUUGUACCCACUCCCACUCUCCGGCUGAUUCGGUCGCAAAUACCGGAUGAAGUACUCUGGAUUGGGCUACUUGCACAGCACUUGAGUACUCAUGUUAAUAGGAGAUUUUAUAAUAAUUUGUAUUUAAAAUAAACAUUGUAAUUUUGUACUUACCUCUAACCCUCUGGUGUCUGUGUUGGUGUGGCCCGGGAUCCUAGAACCUGUAAGGGAAGAAAUGGGUUUAGUAAUUAGUGGUCGGCAGGAUCCCCUACCACACUACUCAGCACAAGUUGUCAGAUUAACCGAACCCUGGUAGAGCUGACAUUGUCCAUCCUUCUGUUGUUAACACAAUGCCUUGGUACAUGGGUUUACCAUGGUUUCCAAAAUAUGCAGGAAAAGAUGGCUAGAUUAAGUUUGUGCAAUGGUUAGAUCAAAUGGAAGCAAUGCUGCAGGCUCAAGAUCUCAGUACAAUACAACACCUAGACACAGGGAAGGUAGAAAGAAUUGGGAGGGAUGAGUAGACCUAUGUAGUUGCCUGUAUGUCUUUUGCCCACAGCCCCAGAGCCAAUUGAGCUGGCAGCUGAGCAGCCCACAGCACCAGGGUUAGGCCCAGAAGCAGAUAAGGUAGAGGAGAAACAAACCCUAGUUAGACGCUCUGCAAAACAAACUAGAGGUGAGAGGCCACUAAGGAAUAAAUACUGGUCUUUAACAUGGCUAAUCAGAACGACACCAAAAACAAAGGGGGGAGAAGAGUCACGGAGUGAACAGUAUUUUCAUAUUUAUUGUAUAUUGCAUGUGCUUUCUAUGGGCUUGAUUAUUUCUAUUGUAUUACAUGAUUGCGUGUGAUGACUAUUUGUUUGCAUGAACUUUCUUUGGACAUUGAACCGUUUCCUGAUGACACCUCCCACUGCCUUAACUACCUGCAAAGCCAUUUGCUAUCAGCAUUCCUACAGCCCUAUAAAAAGAGACUAUCAGACGCAUCCGAGGGCUCUUAGAUUUGGGGGUAGAAACCCUGUCGACCGCCUCCUUCCUGGCGGGCAGCCACCUCCUGCAGCAGCGCAUCAUCGUCUACAGUCAGUCCGACAGGUCCAGACAACCAACGACUUUGGAAGUCCGACUCUUCUGAUUGUGAUGGGCUUGUCUUCUUUCAUGAAAAGGGAAGUAAAAAUAAUCACACAAGUUGGUGUGAAUGUGAUCCAACGAUUGGUUAAGAUGGUGGUACUGAGGACCCCUGUCUGUAUCCCUGACCUAUACAGAUUGUUCCCUAGACUGGGUGGCGUACUUGUUGGUGAUUUGGAAGGUGAUACCGGAGACCGAGAGGUGAUUGAGGCGAGACGUAGGUGAGGCAUCUCUGAAGGACGGAUCCUUCGAAGAGCACCUGAACAGUAUCUGCAUGCCAUGCGGGCUCGGGGAAGCUCGUGACUGGAGAAAAAAACAGGACUGGAGUCUGCCAACUGAAAUAUUCUCUAGCCUUCCCAAAUGACUGGACUGAGUUUUUAGUUCCCACACCCCGUCAGAUUCGGUCGCAAACCCUGGAACAGCGCAUAACGGACUAGACUGAGUUCUAUGUUAAAAGAGAUUUUAUUAUUAUCAUUUGUAUUUCAAAUAAACAUUGUAAUUUUCUACUUU